UACGAAGGGGGCGAGCGUUGUUCGGAUUUACUGGACGUAAAAAACGCGUAAACGGCGGGUCAAGUCGAGUGUGAAAGCCCCGGGCUCAACCUGGGAAUUGCGCUCGAGACUGGUCUGCUUGAGUUCAGAAAAAAAGAGUGGAAUUCCCAGUGUAGAGGUGAAAUUCGUAGAUAUUGGGAAGAACACCGGUGGCGAAGACGGCUCUCUGGACCGAGACUGACGCUGAAGCGCGAAAGCGUGGGGAGCAAACAGG
rnacentral:rRNA from 1 species